rnacentral:rRNA from 1 species
UACGUAGGAUGCGAGCGUUGUCCGGAAUUAUUGGGCGUAAAGAGCUCGUAGGCGGUGUGUCACGUCGUUCGUGAAAACCUGCAGCUUAACUGUGGGCGUGCGGUCGAUACGGGCAUCACUGGAGUUCGGCAGGGGAGACUGGAAUUCCUGGUGUAGCGGUGAAAUGCGCAGAUAUCAGGGGGGAACACCGGUGGCGAAGGGCGGGUCUCUGGGCCGAUACUGACGCUGAGGUGCGAGAGCGGUGGGGAGCGGAACCGGAUUAG